rfam:Alicyclobacillus macrosporangiidus strain DSM 17980 genome assembly, contig: Ga0104483_195
GUACCCAUCCCGAACACGACCGUUAAGCCCUCCAGCGCCGAUGAUACUAGGGGCGGGAGCCCCUGGGAAAGCAGGACGCCGCCAGGC